UCUGUGAUAGGGGGGAGGGGUGUUUCACACCUAGCUCGGCUAUUAGACUAUUCUUUAGUAAAAGGAUGAAUAGUCUAUUGUUCAAUUAUUUAGCCCCCCACCCCAAUUUGCAACAAAUUGUUGUUCCCAUCUCAUUCCUUUCCCUCUUUUACGCGUCAUCAUUCUGCUCCUGAGUGGCUCGCUUGCGGGCGUGCUAGCAGGAUAUGGCAGCAUCUUCGGUUGUGCGUCAAGAAUUCUACAUACAGUAGCACGUUUGUAUGAAGGUGUGGUUAUUCACAGGCAAAUUGUUAUAUGCUAUAGAGGUACAUUUGUGUAUUUUUGUCAAGAGCAAAAACUUUUAUUUUUUUCCAAUCACAAAUAAUUGUUAUGAAAGCAACUUUUCUCCGACACAAAGGAAGUCAAAGCAGACACUUACGAAGAUGGCAUCUCAGGUAAGCAUCUCUGGGCUGUAUUGACAUAUUCUAAAAUUGACAUCUGCUGCUUUAGAUUGAACAGUCAUAUCUCAGUUAUUGUUUUCAUAUCUAUAAAAAAAAUAAGCUGUUUUCUUUACUUUCAGAGAGUGAGAUGAUCAAGAGGUGGAAAAUGUAGACAUUGCCAGAUGUUCACUGUCUGAGGAACAGGCCGUGGAAGCUUUAUCGCUGGCCAAAGUGUCCAUAACUGCUCUGUGUUCUUUUUCUCCAUCUCUGCCUGUCUUGUUGUACAUGGAACCUCUCUCACGUGCAUUCAUUUAAAAAACCUUAAGAUGUAAAUCUGAAAAUUAGCAGCUGACACCACAUAAACACAGCCAUUUUCACUGGACUAUCUGUUGCUAUCUGUUGCUGCCAGGUCAUGAUUUCCCUGGGGGGUUAUCCUUGUAAUAACCAAGUGGUGAGACACAUAGCACUCUAUAUUUAAAUGUUUCAGGUACACUCAGAUAGGUGUCUGCGUCGCAUACAGUAUCUUCUAUUGACAUUAUCUUCUAUGGUUUGUCUUCAUGUCUGUUUUUCAGCAUAAAGUACUCUGUAGCCACUCAGUGUGGACACCAGGUUUUAUCAGCUGUUUUGGUGAACCCCUCCUUCAUCUGCACUGUCUGACACAGACGGCACAGCAUGAUCAUAGGUAUGUUUUGAUGUGCGAGAGAAAGCCAGUCCCAUCAUCGCCACCUCAUCUGCUCUUAAAAUAACCUUCGGGCCAACUGGGGGCCCAAGGCUGGUUAGGAGACACCGCAAUUGUGAUGAACUGAGAGAAUAUUAGGGUAGCACUGUAAUUCAUUAAUCAUAUGCUGUAUACCGCUGUUCUUAACUCUUUCCCUUUGUCUUCUACACCUCUCUCCCCACCUCGUCUUUCUUCCUCGUUUUAUA